AAUAGGAAUAAGAGUAAUGCAAAUUAUGCAAUAUGUUAUUUAGUUUUAUAUUAUAAAGGAAUAGUAAAAUUACAUUAAAAGGUAUUGUGUUUAUAACACGACUCGCAAUUCCCGUCCCAAACUUUGUUCGAGGGAGAUUUUCUCCUCGAUCUCGAUCUCUAAAAGAAAAUAUGUAGACCAAUGUCUUGACAUUGAAAACAAGAAAAUAACAUCAUAAAAAUAAGUGUAUGCAUCAUAUAUUGAAAUUAAUUAAUAUGUUUCUCCUAAUCUGUGCAUCUUGUGUAUAUCUCAGCAGCCGAUUCACCAGCGGGAUCUUCUAAUUCUAAUCCAUCAGGAACCGAAAAUUCCAUCAAGCUAUCAAUUCCUCUACUCUUCGUUGUUUUUGCUGCAACAUAUGCUUCGACUUUCAGGACAUACUGAAAUAUUCAUUUUUUCAUUUCUACACCUCACAUUUAUAAUGUUAUUUUUCAGUUGUUGAAGAUUGUUGUUUCUUUUCACAAUAUAUUCAUUUUUGUGAUCACUAGCUCUAUUUGGUUAAUUAUAUGGUGUUGUAUUGUGAACGGGAGAUAUAUUUUAUCUCCCUUAAGCUUUAACGUGUUUGGAUUUGCUAUACUAUGAUUCUGUUAAACACGAUUACUAAUA